CCCACAACAUCUAGCUCUGCCACACCCCCACGGAACACAGCAGUAAUAAACAUUAAGCCAUGAGCCCAACACCCACAAGCUCGACUCAGAUACAGCUAACUCCCGGCCGGUAAACUCCGUGCCAGCCACCGCGGUUACACGAAGGGCCUCAAAUAACCUCAUACGGCGUAAAACGUGACUAGAAGCCAAUUUUAAAUGCGGGACUCACAACCCAGAUAGAGCCGUAAAACGCACACAUCAAAAGGAACCUUUCCACGCCCCAUUAACAAAUCACCUUUGACUACACGAAAUCUGCGAAACAAACUAGGAUUAGAUACCCUAUUAUGCCCAGACAUAAACCCAGGCAGCAAGCCUAACUCACCAUGCCCGCCAGAGAACUACACGCACCCCAGCGUAAAACUCAAAGGACUUGACGGUGUCUCAUACCGCCCUAGAGGAGCCUGUCCUAUAAUCGAUAAUCCCCGCUAUACCUCACCCCCCAUUGCAAAGCCUCAACCUAUAUACCGCCGUCGCCAGCUCACCUUACAAAAGCCAAACAGUGUGCAAAAUAGUCCACCACUAAAAAGUCAGGUCAAGGUGUAGUUAAUUGGGCGGACAGCGAUGGGCUACAUUUUCUAGCAAAGAAGCCCCCAGCAAUAUGAAACAAUGCCAUAAGACGGAUUUAGCAGUAAAUAGAGCAAGAGCCGCUCAAUUGAAGCUCGCCCUGAGACGCGUACACACCGCCCGUCACCCUCCUCAACAACCAAAAACCAAAAUAACUAAGCCACCCCCCCCCAACAGCUACCAGAUGAGGCAAGUCGUAACAUGGUAAGUGUACUGGAAAGUGCACUUGGCAAAAU
rnacentral:rRNA from 1 species